AACGAACGCUGCGGCAGGCCUAACACAUGCAAGUCGAACGCUGUAGCAAUACAGAGUGGCAGACGGGUGAGUAACGCGUGGGAACAUGCCCUUCGGUUCGGAAUAACUCAGGGAAACUUGAGCUAAUACCGGAUACGCCCUUAGGGGGAAAGAUUUAUUGCCGAAGGAUUGGCCCGCGUCCGAUUAGCUAGUUGGUGAGGUAAUGGCUCACCAAGGCGACGAUCGGUAGCUGGUCUGAGAGGAUGAUCAGCCACACUGGGACUGAGACACGGCCCAGACUCCUACGGGAGGCAGCAGUGGGGAAUAUUGGACAAUGGGCGCAAGCCUGAUCCAGCCAUGCCGCGUGAGUGAUGAAGGCCCUAGGGUUGUAAAGCUCUUUCGCCAGGGACGAUAAUGACGGU
rnacentral:rRNA from 1 species